rnacentral:rRNA from 1 species
AUGGCUCAGGAUGAACGCUAGCUACAGGCUUAACACAUGCAAGUCGAGGGGCAUCAGGGAUCUAGCUGCUAGAUUGCUGGCGACCGGCGCACGGGUGAGUAACGCGUAUCCAACCUUCCCUAUAGUAGAGGAUAGCCCGGCGAAAGUCGGAUUAAUACUCUAUGUUGUAUUUAGAGGACAUCUGAAGAAUACCAAAGGUUUACCGCUAUAGGAUGGGGAUGCGUCUGAUUAGGUUGUUGGCGGGGUAACGGCCCACCAAGCCUACGAUCAGUAGGGGUUCUGAGAGGAAGGUCCCCCACAUUGGAACUGAGACACGGUCCAAACUCCUACGGGAGGCAGCAGUGAGGAAUAUUGGUCAAUGGACGAGAGUCUGAACCAGCCAAGUAAGCGUGCAGGAUGACGGCCCUAUGGGUUGUAAACUGCUUUUAUACGGGGAUAAAGUGAGGGACGUGUCCCUUUUUGUAGGUACCGUAUGAAUAAGGACCGGCUAAUUCCGUGCCAGCAGCAGC